rnacentral:rRNA from 1 species
AUGGCUUCCUUAACUAUGCUUGUCAGUUGGGUCAUUUGGAACGAGAAAAAUGCUAGAGUUUUUAGGAAGAAAUCAAGGCCGCCUUUCUACAAUCUCAAACUUAUCCAAGAAAAAUUCAAACUUUGGGUCACGGCAGGAGAUAGACACCUGAGUAUCAUCAUGCCGCGAGAGUACUUGUUGUUUAUUUUGUUGACUGGCCUUAUAUGCAUGACUGAGUCCAAGGUUACAUGUUCCAGGGCUAGCCCAGACCCGACCUCGAUAUCGCGGAUCUCUUCAGCUAGCGGCGCAUGCCCUUGCUCUCUUCCUCUCCGGGAGAGCAAGAACAAGGUCCUGAGGCUUCCGUGUUAUCAGACUCCUUCAGUUAUAAGUGAUCUGCUAGAUGAUGCUGAGUUCCGUAAACAAAAUUGUUGA